CCUACGGAGGGCUGCAGUGGGGAAUAUUGGACAAUGGGCGAAAGCCUGAUCCAGCCAUGCCGCGUGUGUGAAGAAGGCCUUCGGGUUGUAAAGCACUUUCAGUGGGGAAGAAAGCCUUGGGGCUAAUACCCUCGAGGAAGGACAUCACCCACAGAAGAAGCACCGGCUAACUCCGUGCCAGCAGCCGCGGUAAUACGGAGGGUGCGAGCGUUAAUCGGAAUUACUGGGCGUAAAGCGCGCGUAGGCGGUCUGAUAAGCCGGUUGUGAAAGCCCCGGGCUCAACCUGGGAACGGCAUCCGGAACUGUCAGGCUAGAGUGCAGGAGAGGAAGGUAGAAUUCCCGGUGUAGCGGUGAAAUGCGUAGAGAUCGGGAGGAAUACCAGUGGCGAAGGCGGCCUUCUGGACUGACACUGACGCUGAGGUGCGAAAGCGUGGGUAGCAAACAGGAUUAGAUACCCGUGUAGUC
rnacentral:rRNA from 1 species